rnacentral:rRNA from 1 species
GACGGAGGAUGCAAGCGUUAUCCGGAAUUAUUGGGCGUAAAGCGUCCGUAGGCGGUUUUAUAAGUCAGUUGUUAAAGACCGGGGCUCAACCCUGGGCGGGCAAUUGAAACUGUGAGACUAGAGUUCGGUAGGGGUAGAGGGAAUUCCUAGUGUAGCGGUGAAAUGCGUAGAUAUUAGGAAGAACACCAGUGGCGAAGGCGCUCUACUGGGCCGAGACUGACGCUGAUGGACGAAAGCUAGGGGAGCGAAAGGG